rnacentral:lncRNA from 1 species
UGUGAGUGAGUUCGGAUCUAGGGGAUGACUACUCAUCAAUAUUUUAUACUUCUUUCCAUCCAACUCAAAACCAAAUGAAUAGGAAUAACAGGUAAAUCUAUGAUCAAUGGAAUCGAGGCAAGGAAGAUAUCUUACUAUUCUUGUAGUCGGAUUAUAAAUAACAGGGGGAUGCUCCAUUGCACUCCAUAGGGUGUCUGCCAAAUCGCGCCGGGUACAUUAUGGAGUAUUAAUUGAGUUGAACAUAUAUAACUUGUUUAUCCAAAAAAAGGAAAAAUGUAUGUACUCAUUUUUCUCGGUAAUCAGGAAUUGAAAAUCCAGUUAUUUCAGUCUCUGUUUACGUUGGUGGAAAAAGUAAAAAGAAGCUAAGUCUCUAAUAUUACGAUUAGAGUUCCAUUUUGCUAAAAGAAAACAAGAGACGAUGAUGUCUUCCAUGAGAAUUAAUACCUUAAAAAACAGAAAAACUAUGCUCCAAGAUAAUCUAUUUCAGAAUUAACAAUAGAUACACGAUAAGAGCCUAUCUACAUGACUGUAGAUACCAAUAAUCCUAACAUUUUCUGCAAGGUCCGUGAUUUUUGUUUCUCUCUAACUCUUCUUCUUCAAAUCAUAAUAAACAAUCCAGCUUCCGUUGAACAUCGAGUUAGAGAUGAACACAAUCUCACCAUCAGGAGUACUACCAGAAAUGCAACCAAUGAAAUUCUUCAUCAAGCUAGAACAAAGUGUCUCAGAAAACGUGAUGGUGUGCUUCACCCAUUCUUCAUUUUCACAACUCUGUAAAAUCCUCAAAUAGAUCUCAUUCACAUUCCAUCUCGACUGACUGAUGACAGCUAAUUUUCCUUUAACUUGCAUCAAGUUACAAAAUAUUCCUCCAAGAACAUCUAUUACGUCGGCCCACAAUGAGAUAAUUCUAAAAUUCUCCGUCCUAACAUUAAAUGUCACUAUGCAUCUUUUAUCUUCAUGAAUACCUAGAAAAUAGAUAAAUCCUUCCAUGCAAAGUCCUCUGCUCAGUAACAGUAAUGACGAACAAGGUUCACUUUUAAUCUCUCUCCAUGAUUCAUUUGAGCCGAGAGUUAAAACCCAAUGUUUUGUGAGUGAGUUCGGAUCUAGGGGAUGACUACUCAUCAAUAUUUUAUACUUCUUUCCAUCCAACUCAAAACCAAAUGAAUAGGAAUAACAGGUAAAUCUAUGAUCAAUGGAAUCGAGGCAAGGAAGAUAUCUUACUAUUCUUGUAGUCGGAUUAUAAAUAACAGGGGGAUGCUCCAUUGCACUCCAUAAGCAGAAUAAACCGUUAACAUAAUCAAAUCCAUCAUAUUUAAUGCUCAAUACGAACAACACUGGAUCUUUUUUGUUCCACCUUCUGAUCGAUGGUGUAAGAAAAAUUUCCAUCCCUUGAACGUGUGAGGAAUUUUAUCCUACCAGGAUGAGAUAUAGAGUGGCUAUGAUGGGUAUCUACAAAAUAUGGAUUCGAAAUAAGAGCAUUAUAAGAUUUAGAAAGGCACUUGAAGCGCAUUAAAGAAUCAACAGGAAGCCUAGAAAAUAUAUCACAAAUAAUCUCUUCAGGUAUUGAAGAGUUUCUUGAAUUACUCUUUCUCUUUUCAUUCUCCAUUGGGGAAAGCGUUUGUUACCUGAAAUAGUUCCAUGUUAAUCUCUUCAUGUAUUGAAUACUUGAAUGAUUCCAAUAUUAAACACGUUAAUGGAAAAUAACAUAUAUCAAGAAGUUUGAGAGCAUACCUUUACCUUCUGAUCUACACUUGGAACAGAAACUGCUAGUUAUAAACUAGAAAAACAAUAGAAUUUCAAGAAAGAAAAUGCAUUGCGCAA